UGGGGAAUAUUGCGCAAUGGGCGAAAGCCUGACGCAGCGACGCCGCGUGAGGGAUGAAGGUUUUCGGAUCGUAAACCUCUGUCAGAAGGGAAGAAACCGCACUGUGCUAAUCAGCAGUGCCUUGACGGUACCUUCAAAGGAAGCACCGGCCAACUCCGUGCCAGCAGCCGCGGUAAUACGGAGGGUGCAAGCGUUAAUCGGAAUUACUGGGCGUAAAGCGCACGUAGGCUGCUUUGUAAGUCAGGGGUGAAAUCCCACGGCUCAACCGUGGAACUGCCUUUGAUACUGCUUAGCUUGAAUCCGGGAGAGGGUGGCGGAAUUCCAGGUGUAGGAGUGAAAUCCGUAGAUAUCUGGAGGAACAUCAGUGGCGAAGGCGGCCACCUGGACCGGUAUUGACGCUGAGGUGCGAAAGCGUGGGGAGCAAACAGG
rnacentral:rRNA from 1 species